rnacentral:rRNA from 1 species
GCAGCCGCGGUAAUACGGAAGGUCCGGGCGUUAUCCGGAUUUAUUGGGUUUAAAGGGAGCGCAGGCCGUGGGUUAAGCGUGUCGUGAAAUUCCGUCGCUCAACGGCGGACGUGCGGCGCGAACUGGUCCACUUGAGUACGCGGGACGUUGGCGGAAUUCGUGGUGUAGCGGUGAAAUGCUUAGAUAUCACGAAGAACUCCGAUUGCGAAGGCAGCUGACGGUAGCGCAACUGACGCUGAGGCUCGAAAGUGCGGGUAUCGAACAGGAUUAGAUACCCC